rnacentral:tRNA from 1 species
UCGGUGUGGUUGUGGCGUUGCUGGGUCUGCUGCUCGCGGUUGCGGUCGCCGCGGCCGCAGUCGUGCGAGCCGACUCCACCGAC